rnacentral:rRNA from 1 species
AUAGCGGAGAGGAAACACCCGUUCCCAUCCCGAACACGGAAGUUAAGCUCUCCAGCGCCGAUGGUAGUUGGGGCCAGCGCCCCUGCAAGAGUAGGUCGUCGCUAGGC